ACUAACACACCAUUGUGAAGCAAUUAUACUCCAAUAAAGAUGUUAAAAACAAAAAACAAGCCUAACAGACUUAAGGGAUGGCCUCUCUGCCUUCAAGUUGUAGCAGCUACUUGUGACAUACUUCAGGAAACUCAGAAGUUUACCCUGAGGCAACCCACCACUGUUUAUGUCCUUCACCAUGUUCUUUCUUUACUGGAACAAAAAGGGGGCUAUUGGCUGACUUCUGGGAGAAUGAGAAAAUACCAAGCCAUUCUCUUAGACAACUUCAGUGUAAGACUUCAGGUCACUUCAGCCCCAAAUCGAGCCACACUGCUCCCAAUUAAUGCUGCACAACCCCCAGAGCACAAAUGCCUACCCGUCAUGGAGCUAGCAUACUCUAGCAGACCGGACUUAAGCGACUAACCCUCAGCUGAGCCAGAUAUGGAACUGUUUACCAAUGGAAGCAGCUUCAUGGACCAAGCAUAACCCAACAAGUGUCUAAAGCACUGCAAACUGGAAGCUACAUUCAUCCUGGAGACCACAAUCAACAGGAAAAACCAAGAAAAUGAAUUACACGUUAAAAAGGAGCAUUGCUAAAAUAUGCCGAGACUAAUUUAACUUGGGAUAAGGCCUUGCCAGUUUCCAUGCUACGGAUCAGAAUGGCUCCCAGAAGCAGGCCUGAAUUAAGCCUCUUUGAAAUACUGUAUGGGCUGUGUCCUCCAUGCUGGGCACCUGGCUGCACCAUUACCCUGAGCAUUUCCACCAGCCCCCAGAAUUUCCCCGCCUGAAGAUGCUUCUGGCUCACACAGAGCUCAGCAUGCCUGGCUCAGACCUGGAGCACCAAGCCCACCUUCUCCUGGCACAACUGCAGCACCUGGAGCCCCCUGAGACAGACGGUGACUCACCAGCUCCAGAACAAGCUCUGGAAACAUAUCAAGACCUAGAGCCAGCUAUACCUCUACUGCCCACUACAGCUCCAGAGCUCCAGAGCAAGCUCAAGCCACAGCUAUUGUUCAAGCUCAAGAGCCAGAAUAUGCAUUACUGCCAGUUCCUCAGCCAGAACUAGAGAAUGGUCAUGCCCUAGCUCUCAUUUAAGCCACAAGUUAUCAACUUAUUUCCAAGAUCUACUGCAGUAAUUUACAACAGAACAAACAAGCAAGCAAACUAAUGAAAACCCAGUAUGGCCCAUCUGCCCCCCAUGGAAAUAUUAAUGAUUCAAAGAGAGGAAGCCUUCACAGGUAGUUCUUUGGAGGCAAGCAAUAAAGGAACAAACUCCAUGGCACAACCAGCCUCAUGCUUCAUUGUUUCAUGGACUUUUCUUUCUCACCAUCCACUGGAAUGGGCCUAGAGCCACUUGUCUCACUCUGGCCACAUGUUCCCAAGGGAUGCAGAAUCACUGCCAGGAUUUGAGUCACUGUUGUCUCAAGCACCCAGAAGAGAAGCACCGAAAGAAAGAGGCAUUCCAACUGGAGCCAGAUGGCCAUGGUGGAUGUGGUUUCAGACACGUUCCUGCAUCAUAGAGAUCUUGGAUUUCCUGAACUGUAUCAAACUCCAGGACACCACCAGCCCGUCUAAAAGGAAAAACAAAAAACCAAAAACCUGCUAAAAGCUGCCAGCUGCAAACUUAUGGCCUCAAGGUCUUCCCCUGUGAGUAGGCAAGGGUUUCAGACCCCAACCAAUACUUACUUAACAACACUCUUACUUCUUGCCAGCUCCAAUUAUAAUUCUUUAGAAAUAACUCAUGGAACUAAGUGCAACAUUGCAGAAUAUGCCUUUAUAAGCCGCCUCCGUUUUGUACUCCAGGAGAAGACAAUUCAAGUGCUUCUGGAACCUGUGUCUUCUGGG